GCCUCGGUAGUGUAGUGGUAGCACGCGUCCGCUGUAUGGAUAAAACACUGGUUCGACUCCUGCCUGAGGUCA